GAGCUGACCCAUUCGAUUUCGUGGACUUUCGGAAGGGCAUUUUCUCCUCUAGUUCUCACAAAGACCCCAGGACUCAGCCACUGUCACUCUCUCAUCUGGCAUGUGAAAAGGCCCAGAACUGGAAAGUGGAAGAAGCUUGCUUAACUACAAAGGUUUGAAUACAGACAGAACAUUCAACUCCUAUGUGGAAUCAUCAAAAUUACAUCAUUCAUAUUUCAUGGUAGCUUGGCCGGAAGAGCAUAUACAAGUUAGACGCAGGAAGGUGGUGGAGGAAGAGAGAGGGCUCAUCUAGCACGAA